ACAGCUCUUCAUAGAUGUGGACACCCAGAAACGUAAAGCUGGUGACACGCUCCACCUCAGUUCCGUUGAUAAGGGUGGGGGUGUGUGUGUCAGCUUUAGAUUUUCUUUAGUCCACAAUGAGCUCUU